UGGGGAAUAUUGCACAAUGGGCGCAAGCCUGAUGCAGCAACGCCGCGUGAGGGAUGACGGCCUUCGGGUUGUAAACCUCUUUUAGCAGGGAAGAAGCGAAAGUGACGGUACCUGCAGAAAAAGCGCCGGCUAACUACGUGCCAGCAGCCGCGGUAAUACGUAGGGCGCAGGCGUUAUCCGGAAUUAUUGGGCGUAAAGAGCUCGUAGGCGGUUUGUCGCGUCUGCUGUGAAAUCCCGAGGCUCAACCUCGGGUCUGCAGUGGGUACGGGCAGACUAGAGUGCGGUAGGGGAGAUUGGAAUUCCUGGUGUAGCGGUGGAAUGCGCAGAUAUCAGGAGGAACACCGAUGGCGAAGGCAGAUCUCUGGGCCGUAACUGACGCUGAGGAGCGAAAGGGUGGGGAGCAAACAGGCUUAGAUACCCUGGUAGUCCACCCCGUAAACGUUGGGAACUAGUUGUGGGGUCCAUUCCACGGAUUCCGUGACGCAGCUAACGCAUUAAGUUCCCCGCCUGGGGAGUACGGCCGCAAGGCUA
rnacentral:rRNA from 1 species